ensembl:miRNA microRNA 1-1
ACAUACUUCUUUAUAUGCCCAUAUGAACAAGAGCAACUAUGGAAUGUAAAGAAGUAUGUAU